rnacentral:tRNA from 1 species
GGCGCAGUCCGGUUAGCGUACACGGCUGGGGGCCGUGUGGUCGCAGGUUCAAAUCCUGUC